AGCUGGUUAACACACAUUUAGAAUGCUGCAUACGGCACCAGCCUUAGAGCGCUGACUAACUAACUUUCUCCCACUCCAUUAACAGCAUAUUGGUGAGAUCUAGUCUCUGCUGUAUAAGGUGGAUUAACAGCAUAUUGGUGAGAUCUAGUCUCUGCUGUAUAAAGUGGAUUAACAGCAUAUUGGUGAGAUCUAGUCUCUGCUGUAUAAAGUGGAUUAACAGCAUAUUGGUGAGAUCUAGUCUCAGCUGUAUAAAGUGGAUUAACAGCAUAUUGGUGAGAUCUAGUCUCAGCUGUAUAAAGUGGAUUAACAGCAUAUUGGUGAGAUCUAGUCUCAGCUGUAUAAAGUGGAUUAACAGCAUAUUGGUGAGAUCUAGUCUCAGCUGUAUAAAGUGGAUUAACAGCAUAUUGGUGAGAUCUAGUCUCAGCUGUAUAAAGUGGAUUAACAGCAUAUUGGUGAGAUCUAGUCUCAGCUGUAUAAAGUGGAUUAACAGCAUAUUGGUGAGAUCUAGUCUCAGCUGUAUAAAGUGGAUUAACAGCAUAUUGGUGAGAUCUAGUCUCAGCUGUAUAAAGUGGAUUAACAGCAUAUUGGUGAGAUCUAGUCUCAGCUGUAUAAAGUGGAUUAACAGCAUAUUGGUGAGAUCUAGUCUCAGCUGUAUAAAGUGGAUUAACAGCAUAUUGGUGAGAUCUAGUCUCAGCUGUAUAAAGUGGAUUAACAGCAUAUUGGUGAGAUCUAGUCUCAGCUGUAUAAAGUGGA